GCAUCGAUGAAGAACGCAGCGAAUUGCGAUAAGUAAUGUGAAUUGCAGAAUUCAGUGAAUCAUCGAAUCUUUGAACGCAGCUUGCGCUCUCUGGUAUUCCGGAGAGCAUGCCUGUUUCAGUGUCAUGAAAUCUCAACCACUAGGGUUUCCUAAUGGAUUGGAUUUGGGCGUCUGCGAUCUCUGAUCGCUCGCCUUAAAAGAGUUAGCAAGUUUGACAUUCAUGUCUGGUGUAAUAAGUUUCACUGGGUCCAUGGUGUUGAAGCGUGCUUCUAAUCGUCCGCAAGGACAAUUACUUUGACUCUGGCCUGAAAUCAGGUAGGACUACCCGCUGAACUUAAGCAUAUCAAUAAGCGGAGGA
rnacentral:rRNA from 1 species